AACGUAGGAGACAAACGUUAUCCGGAGUUACUGGGCGUAAAGGGCGUGUAGGUGGUAUCGUAAGUCUGGCGUGAAAUUUCUCGGCUUAACCGAGGCAGGUCGUCGGAUACUGCGAGGCUAGAGGACGGUAGAGGCGUGUGGAAUUCCGGGUGUAGCGGUGAAAUGCGUAGAUAUCGGGAGGAACAUCAGUGGCGAAGGCGGCUACCUGGCCCAAUACUGACACUCAGGUGCGACAGCGUGGGGAGCAAACAGG
rnacentral:rRNA from 1 species